CAAGUGUCAUCAAGGGAUAACUACUACAAGUAGAAGCACCAUUUUUGAUGGAACAAAACCCUUCAGGAAAGUAUACGUAUCACAUGUAACAUGUAGUGUAACAAAGUAUGAACAGUAAGGUUUUUACAUACAGUAGUACACAUAUUACAUACGUACAUAACUUUUUUUUACAGGAAUUUCCAACCAAGUUUGAUUAUGUACAUAUGUACAUGUUAUAAACCACUGUACGUAUGGUUACUGUAUGUAACUUACUAAACAUACAUAACAUGACUUAACUUUGAUACUUUUUUGGUACAUUCCAGAAAACCAGGACCCCCUCCAUGAUGCAGGCUAUGGGGCCACAUAAAACUUUGUCCAGGGUUACUACAUAACAUAGAACGACAACUGUAAACUAUGUACUACUGUACUAAAGAACCCCCUGAAUGAUGUAGGCUAUGGGGCCACAUAAGACUUUGUCCAUCCAGGGUUACAUUGAACGAGAACUUUAAACUAAAGAACCCCCUGAAUGAUGUAGGCUAUGGGGCCACAUAAGACUUUGUCCAUCCAGGGUUACAUUGAACGAGAACUUUAAACUAAAGAACCCCCUGAAUGAUGUAGGCUAUGGGGCCACAUAAGACUUUGUCCAUCCAGGGUUACAUUGAAAGACAACUUUAAACUAAAGAGCUACCAGACUGGGAUUUUAGUGUAUCAAGGAUCUAACAAAGUGUGCAAUGCAUGUGUAUACGUAUACAGUGACAGUGUUUAGUGUAUACCCUAAGGAUUAAGUGUAGUGUACAUUGUGCUUUUUAGUGUCACAAGAGUUUAAUAAAGAAUUAUACCUUCAAGAACCAUCCUUUGCCAUUGGAAUAACCACACUACACAUCAUGCAAUCUACUUG